AGCAUCAACACGUGCGAUAAACUUCGUACGCUUUCAUCUGAUGCUUUCUUGCGGACAAGUGUUGUUCUUUGGCAGGCAUGAUUUAUCGCUUAUAGCUGGAGCGUGAGACGCGCUGGUCGCGUCGGCGUCUACUCUAUAUAGUUUGAUGAAACGUUCCGCCAGCAAUAACAAACGAUAAAGUUGCCAGAAACUUACUGUGUACCUGAACGAUGAUGGCAGGGGUGAUAGCCGCACGUGCUUCCAGUUUAUCCGGCUGCUACUUCGCUGGAAGGCCACACCUUGCCGACAUGGGUGAAGUCGCUGCGGUACCGGCCACUCCUGUAAAUGCCGCGCUGUUUUGUCGACGGCGUGCUCGACGACGACGAUAAAUGGUACAAUGUUCGUCAAAAGUAAAUGGGCUACUCUGUGCCUUCACUGUAUACGUCACUCAGCUCUCUGCUGCGGCUCCCAUGGCGCUCCUGGCACCCCAGAUGUCUGGAUGAUGGAACAGACGGAACCCCACCAAAGCAAGCACACGUUGAACCAAGAAGUCAAAGCAGCUCAAGCCCGCCAGUCAUCGAUCAACCUUGACAGCGUCUUCCCCGGCACCGAUGAAGCUGGGCGGCAGGUGGAUCCCACGGCCGAAGCUCCUGAACUGCAUAAUAAAUAUCCUACAGCCCAAGACGAAGUGGCACAACGGUAUAGUUAUGCCAAUGCAGAGGCGAUGGAGCAAGCACAGAAAGUUCGGCGAGAAAAACAAGAGAAAGAGCGAAUGUGCAACAGACUACUCAGUUCUCCAAGU
rnacentral:lncRNA from 1 species